GAUGAACGCUGGCGGCGUGCCUAACACAUGCAAGUCGAACGAAGCACCUUUUAAGAUUCUUCGGAUGAUUGAUCGGUGACUGAGUGGCGGACGGGUGAGUAACGCGUGGGUAACCUGCCCUGUACAGGGGGAUAACAGUUGGAAACGGCUGCUACUACCGCAUAAGCGCACGAGAGGACAUCCUCUUGUGGGAAAAAACCCGGUGGUACAGGAUGGGCCCGCGUCUGAUUAGCUGGUUGGCAGGGCAACGGCCUACCAAGGCGACGAUCAGUAGCCGGUCUGAGAGGAUGAACGGCCACAUUGGAACUGAGACACGGUCCAAACUCCUACGGGAGGCAGCAGUGGGGAAUAUUGCACAAUGGGGGAAACCCUGAUGCAGCAACGCCGCGUGAGUGAAGAAGUAUUUCGGUAUGUAAAGCUCUAUCAGCAGGGAAGGUAAUGACGGUACCUGACUAAGAAGCUCCGGCUAAAUACGUGCCAGCCGCCGCGGUAA
rnacentral:rRNA from 1 species